UGGGGAAUUUUGGACAAUGGGCGCAAGCCUGAUCCAGCAAUGCCGCGUGCAGGAUGAAGGCCUUCGGGUUGUAAACUGCUUUUGUACGGAGCGAAAAGGUCUGCCCUAAUACGGUGGGCUCAUGACGGUACCGUAAGAAUAAGCACCGGCUAACUACGUGCCAGCAGCCGCGGUAAUACGUAGGGUGCAAGCGUUAAUCGGAAUUACUGGGCGUAAAGCGUGCGCAGGCGGUUAUGCAAGACAGAGGUGAAAUCCCCGGGCUCAACCUGGGACCUGCAUUUGUGACUGUAUAGCUAGAGUACGGUAGAGGGGGAUGGAAUUCCGCGUGUAGCAGUGAAAUGCGUAGAUAUGCGGAGGAACACCGAUGGCGAAGGCAAUCCCCUGGACCUGUACUGGCGCUCAUGCACGAAAGCGUGGGGAGCAAACA
rnacentral:rRNA from 1 species